ACUCCUACGGGAGGCAGCAGUGGGGAAUAUUGGACAAUGGGCGAAAGACCUGAUCCAGCCAUGCCGCGUGUGUGAAGAAGGUCUUCGGAUUGUAAAGACACUUUAAAGUUGGGAGGAAGGGCGAGUAAGUUAAUACCUUGCUGUUUUGUACGUUACCAACAGAAUAAGCACCGGCUAACUUCGUGCCAGCAGCCGCGGUAAUACGAAGGGGUGCAAGCGUUAAUCGGAAUUACUGGGCGUAAAGCGCGCGUAGGUGGUUCAGCAAGUUGGAUGUGAAAUCCCCGGGGCUCAACCUGGGAACUGCAUCCAAAACUACUGAGCUAGAGUACGGUAGAGGGUGGUGGAAUUUCCUGUGUAGCGGUGAAAUCCGUAGAUAUAGGAAGGAACACCAGUGGCGAAGGCUACCACCUGGACUGAUACUGACACUGAGGUGCGAAAGCGUGGGGAGCAAACA
rnacentral:rRNA from 1 species